AGGAAAACACCAUACAAUCAAGCAGCAUCAGACACAAGGAGGAUCCUGUGUCCCUUUUCUUUGGGAACAUUUUCUUCAUGGUUCAGCAGGACAUGGAGGCUGAUGGUGCAUGAAAACAUAUCACAUUGGCUUGCCUCCCCCACAAGCAGGCAGUUCUAGAAAAGAGUAAAAGGAUCCAACCAGUAAACGGAGACCUUAAAAACUGAGGCUAGAAAUGAGAAGGGAAUUUCCCUUUACAUUGUAAGGUUCUUUGAUGUUCUGAGGUUCCACUG